rnacentral:rRNA from 1 species
AGUGGCGAACGGGUGCGUAACGCGUAUGCAACCUACCUUCAUCAGGGGGAUAGCCCGGAGAAAUUCGGAUUAACACCGCAUAAAAACACAGUACGGCAUCGUACAAUGUUCAAAUAUUAAUAGGAUGAAGAUGGGCAUGCGUGUCAUUAGCUAGUUGGUAAGGUAACGGCUUACCAAGGCGACGAUGACUAGGGGAUCUGAGAGGAUGACCCCCCACACUGGUACUGAGACACGGACCAGACUCCUACGGGAGGCAGCAGUAAGGAAUAUUGGUCAAUGGAGGCAACUCUGAACCAGCCAUGCCGCGUGCAGGAAGACUGCCCUAUGGGUUGUAAACUGCUUUUAUACGGGAAUAAACCUAUCUACGAGUAGAUAGCUGAAUGUACUGUAAGAAUAAGGAUCGGCUAACUCCGUGCCAGCAGCCGCGGUAAUACGGAGGAUCCAAGCGUUAUCCGGAUUUAUUGGGUUUAAAGGGAGCGUAGGCGGCCGUUUAAGUCAGAGGUGAAAACUUGCAGCUCAACUGUAAGCUUGCCUUUGAUACUGAAUGGCUUGAAUGAACUUGAGGUAGGCGGAAUGUGACAAGUAGCGGUGAAAUGCAUAGAUAUGUCACAGAACACCAAUUGCGAAGGCAGCUUACUAAGGUUUAAUUGACGCUGAGGCUCGAAAGCGUGGGGAUCAAACAGGAUUAGAUACCCUGGUAGUCCACGCCCUAAACGAUGAUAACUCGAUGUUGGCGAUAUACAGUCAGCGUCCAAGCGAAAGCGUUAAGUUAUCCACCUGGGGAGUACGCCCGCAAGGGUGAAACUCAAAGGAAUUGACGGGGGCCCGCACAAGCGGAGGAGCAUGUGGUU